UAAAUCUCCAGUGCGCCCUCACACUGGAUGGAGAUUUGACCUCUUCUGGGAAAACUCAACUUUUCUGAUUGCCGCAGCAGCAUCAGUGCAGCUCCUGACAAAGGGCUCUGCAGCAUCCCUCGAUCCCAUGUCUGUUUUUCACCUGACGUCCACACUCAUUUUUUUUCAAGUCCCUCUCUCAUAAGUUGGUGCCAAAGGGUAGGAGAAAAGGGUGUGAGAAGAGGGUGAAUUUUAAACCGUCUCUCCAUAUAAAUAGAACAGGUUAUGCAUGCCUCUCUGAAGUACGGUAUUAAUCCCAAUUGUGCCAUAAAAUAUAUAUGACUCACUUGAGCCUUGUUCUCUGGUGAAUUAUGAACUAUUAUAUCACUCGUGGGAUAAGUAUUAUGUCUCUUAAGAGACUAUCACCUUUCCUCUAUUUUAUAACAUAAAACUUCAUUGAAACCUGCCGUGCCUGAUCGAAGAGACUUCUCGUGAUCCACAUUAAACCUUCUCCUUCUGCAGCUCCCUUCGUUUAGCUGAUGUUCACGUCAGGGUGAGUUCUUUCAGAUGUAGAAUAAGCAUAAAUUAGUAUGUAAGAGAAGGAGUCGUUUAGCAGAUUUUUUUCUUUAAUAAAUCUGGUGAUAUUUAUAUUUCAUCACAGAGCAGGAAGAUUUUUUUACACAUUUAAAGAUUUAUUCCUCUAGUAAGUAUCCAAUUAAUAGGGCUUUAGCAUGCAGACAGGAUUUGUAUUUAUGCUGAAGAAAAUGUGUUCUCAUUAUACUUUUAUUCUCAUGUUAGAUUUAUUGUGGUUUCCAUUAUAUUUUAUUUUAGUAGCUCCUUUUUCUAAUUCUUUAUAUUUACAUGUCUCUUCCAACAAAAAUAAUAAUACAUAAAUAAUACCUGACAACGCUUUGCAGAUUUUCUCUAUUUGUAUGCUUUAAUUCUCCGAGCAUCCUGGAAUGGAAAUGCUGUGAACAACAAAGGCAAUCUCUAUGUGAUCUCUAUUACAUGAAAAAUUAUCAUUUUCAUUUCCUCUUCACUCUGCCAAGUUCUUUCCAAGUUCCAGCCUGCAGUGCAUUAACGUCGGCAAGAAACAGCACCAAAGCCAAAUGCUCCACCACCUUCUAACAGGAGUACUCACUGAGUACACCUACACCUUCAGACCCACUGCGAUGAGCAGUGGCACAGGACAGACGCCUUCCUGCUGCAUUGCAGCACACCACUUCUUCCUCUUCCCUGUCACACAUAUUUUUCCAUAGGCCUUUUGUCCUGCGAUAGCGCAGCACGUUGCUGCUGUUGUUACGCAUACCGCUGCUGAGGAAGAUGUUCACAAAUGGAAGCUUUGCUGUUCCUCACCCAGCCCACAGCUUUCUGCACCAGGAGAGGGGCCCAAACGGUCAGCAAGAGUGACCCUUCCAGUGGCCAUCUGACACCCAAAAUAAGAGAAGACCUAUACAAGCAGGUGCCACCACUCACACCUCAUGCUGAGGGCCAUGCAGCCCCAUCCAAGGUCCACGCAGCGUGAGACAGCUCCCUGGUGCAACCUAUCCCCAUCUCCAGAAGCAACCCCAGGCCCAACCCUAAAGUCCUGGGCCCGGAGAAGCCAACCCAGCCACCCCACAUCUGUCAGUGAGAGAGCUGAAUUGGACCAGGCACCGCUGCAGACGAAGCUGCUUUCGUUUUUCAGUGUACCCUCUGCUGGAAAAAAAAAAUGAGUUUGUGUUAGAUAUCACAUCUAAUUAUUCCUGGUGGGCUGGCCCAGAGAAAUGUCAACAGUGCAUUGUAAGUGCUAAUUGGGGUGUCCAUGCUCCACAGUAGAUUUGGGAUACAACACCCAAGCCUGGAGAGGUUAAGCAUGUUUUAGAAUACUGUACUGUAAUGAGCUUAGUCUCCAUGGAAGAGGCACAGCGCUGAGUGUCACACUGCACUGCUCUGCUCCGGCUGCAAGAGGCUGCAGGAGGCUGCACUGUUUUAAUACAGGGAUGAAGACAGUACCUGAACUCAGUACCCGAACUCAGUACCCAGCCUGUUUACUGGUGGCAAGUCCCCCCAUGGGCUGCUUCCUCAGCUUUCCUUUCCCAAAUUGCCAGGACACCACUUGAAACAAACCCAUGCACAUCUCAGAGACCUUUACCUCACCCAGAGGAGAAAGAGGACCCUGUGACGGGAUGUUAAUAUGUAGCAGCGGGGCUCCCUUCCAUAACUCUGUACUCACUCAGCACUGAGGCACAAGCACCAGAAUGAAAGCUGAUGAACUGUAAGGUCAAAGACUGGUCUCAGACAUGUUCCCUGCUCCACACAGUACUGCCUUCGUUAAGUCCCGUGUGCUAACACAGACCAGUCAGGCAGUUAUUCCCCAGCUUUCUUGUUCUUCCCGACUUCUGGUGAGGAGGUAACAGUGCCAACCCCCAUGGCAAACACAGGGCACAGCCUCGCUGAGAGCUCCAGGGAGGGGCUGCACCUGUUGUGGGGAAAGGUGCCGGGGGAGGCCCUGGGGCAGAGGCCCCAUCCAAGAGCUCUGGAGCUGUGUGCUGCUGAGAAGGCAUUCGAGAAGCUACACCUCUGCCACAUGUGUCAAACAGGGAGAUGAACUGCUCGGUGAGAGGAAGGCAGCUCGCUAAGCCCAGGUGCAGGGCCAGCGUUUGUCAGACCGUCCUCAGCAGUGCCUGGGUUCAGUCAGCUGGGGAAUCCUCUUUUUUAGGACAGCACCCAGAGGGAGCAGCUCCAUUUCCUUUUCCUCACUACAUAUUCACAGAGAAUGGUGCAGCUGUACAACGGAAUCAUAAAUUCUGCUAAUAGCUGUUCUGCCCUGGCCACGUGUGACACUGCUGACAAGAUGUCUGCAAAGGUACCUGCACAGCGCUGCACAGAAGAGCAGGUACAGAUAUUUUGCUCCAUCCUCCUGGAAUAAAAGCACCAUGUGGGCAGCUCCGCUCGGUGCACAACGAAGAACGAGACGUUGAGCUGGAGAGGAGCCCGCUGCAAUUCAUAUGGGGUCGUAGCAGUGUGCUACAACUUACCACAUGCUGGCAGCAGGGUCUAGAAGAGGGAUACAUGUUGAGCAGCUCAACACCUAUCUAGAAAGCGUGUGUCUGCAGCCUGGAUGGAGAGAGCUGACUGUUAGUUUGCAUAGAGCAACACCCGUUUCUUAUGUACUGCAGAAAGUGAGGUAAAGAAAGCAUCUUCCUCUCUGUCCAGAUCCUGUCUUGUAUUUUUGUUUGCGUUCUGAUACAGCAAAACAAAUCAGGGAGGGGAGAAGGGAAGGAAGGGAGCAAAAAGCUAAAUAAAUAUUUAAUGUCUCAGCACCUGUCAUAGAGUUUCCGCUCACAACCACUAUCGAUUUCCUGGUAGUUCUCCUCCCCUACCCAACUUCAUUAAAGAGUAAAAGUAAAGUAGUAAGUCAUUUCACACUCUGUCUGACCAUUAUACAAUAAUAGCAAGAUUUCAUGCAAGGGUACAACAUUAUGCCCAUCUGCAAUCACAGUCUCUUUGCAAAAAUCUCAAUUCACACUUCACAUGCAGCUAACCUUGUUACCAUCCCCUUCCUAAAUCCAUCAGUCUUGCAGCUGCACGUCUUCACAGCCCAACAUCUUAAAAUUCAUCACUUUGACACCCUCACAUCCCUACAGGUCAAGCUAAAGGAGCCAACCAAGAAUAAUUAAGGGGUACCCCAGAUGUUUGGUUACUUCUACCAGCCUUUCCUGGAAUGGGUGUAUGUUUCUCUUUGUAUGCCAGUGAUCCGUGUAAGGUCCUUGUUUUAAGGGACAAGACCUCAAACAAAUUUCAGACUUCUCCCCACAUCAUCUUUUUCUUUUUCUUUCUUCUUUUUUUUUUUUUUAAGUAUAGAUCUUUAUAGCUGAAAUUUGAACAAGAGGCGUGAUAAUGAGUAGGUUGAGGGAAGGAAAGGUGUUAUCUCAUUAAGGUAAUUACUAAGACAGCCACACCGUUGCCACGGUUUGAAAAUGUGGCAAUUAAAGCGCUCUACAUGGGCUCUCAGAGACGGGGGAACGCGGCGGCCUCGGACGAGUGCCGGGAGGGGAGGAACGUGGGUGCGGGACGGGAACGGGGCCGCAGCCCGGGGGUGGGGGGCGGCGCGGGGCUCCGUGUCGGGGCCGGGGGGGCGGCACGGCGAGCCCAGCCCCAGCGGCUCGGGUCGCCUCGUCCGGGUUCCUUUGAAAUCCGUUAAUUUUGAGGAGCGGCGUUUGUGUGCUUCCAUUAAUAGAAACGGCUCGUGGAAAAUAGGGCAUAUGAAUAUGGAAACGGGGUUUUGAUGUGAUGGGCGCCCUGCCGGCCCUGCGCUCCGCCUGGGAAUGCGCCCGCUCCAGCUGCCCGACGGCCCAGGACGGCCUCGGGAAAGAGCGAAGUUCAGCGGCACCUCCGGGGAACGGGUCAGCGGGGAGAGGCGCCCUGGGGGCCGCCGAUCCCAUCCACCCACUCUUCGCCGUUCCCGGGGGUGUCGGGCUCUAUCGGCUGCCCCCCGCCAGGCCCCUCCGGGGACAUUUCGAUGCCUUCCCCGGAGCGGAGCCGGCGGCUGCUCCCACGGGGCGGAACGGUUUGUGCUAUGCUCCCGUACCUGAAAAUGGAACUCCGAGUUCCAGUGACCGCAGGGAAGGGACCCGCUCGGGGUCUUCGACGGGAGAGGGGGCUCUGCAGCGGGACGGAAUGAAGGGGGAAAGCCGCGUAAUUCCAACCUGCAACGGGUACUCGUCUCUCGACCCCGUUACCCGCGGGCUGGGGCUGUUUCUGACAUUUCGAAGGGCUCUGCCCCUUCCCCGGGUGAAUCCGACCCGGCUGCACACCCACCCUACGCUGAGUUACCCGAGCGGGCUGCAGCGGGAUGUAAGGCGACUCACGGUGUGCCGCCGCAUGGGAGCGUCGCCUGAGUUUGGAGGAAGAUAAACUCUGCAAAGGGAGAAAACAGCAAAUGUUAAAACCCUCCCGCACGCGAACCGGAGCUGCGGGCAGCGCCGGGCUCUGGCGGCGGGAGCGCAAAUCGCUCUCCGCGGGUAGCGCCGGGAGAGCGGCUCCGGUCCGACCCGGUGUAGCAGCGUGACCGGGAGGCACCUCACGGCGGCAUGGCACCGCUCGGCCCGGCCGCGUCCCCACCGACUCACCUCCCGCUCUGGCGACGGCGGAGCUGAGCUCCGCAGUCAGGAGUUACCCUGACCCCGUUGCCGCAGGAACAAACCAACGGGACACGGAGCGCGGCCAGGGCGUCCCGCGUCCCAGCGCGCCGGUGUCACUCCGGAGCGACGCGGGCAAGAGCGGAGCGGCCGCGUCCCGCUUUCCUUCCCCGCCGGUAGCAACGGGGAAACGCGGGAGCGGCGGGGACGGAGCCGUAGGGCAGCCCCGGCCUCGGGACGAGUCUCGGCCUCUUCCGUCUUCAUCUCGGCCUCCUAUACCUUCCGCACGGCCUGCUGCCCGGCGCCGGGGAACGAGGCCACGAGGUUCUCUCGCACGGGUGGUGCCGCGCCGUUCCGAGCCCCCGGAGCUGUCCGCGGUGCUGAGGAC
ensembl:lncRNA